AUGCCUCCGCUCCCCAGGCUCCUCCACCGCCACCUCUCUGCCCCGUUCGCCCGCCGCCUCACCCCUUGCCAUCUGUGGCAGCCCGCGGCGGACGUCUUCCUCCGUCGCGGGCUCGCAUCUUCCUCCGCCGCCGCCGCCGCCGCGGCAGCGGGCCGGGAGAAGAGCUCUAGGAAGACCCUGGGUUACCUUGUUGGCGUGGCAGUCGCCAUGGUCGGCGCCUCCUACGCCGCCGUCCCGCUCUACCGCCGGUUCUGCCAGGCCACCGGGUACGGCGGCACCGUCCAGCGCCGCGAGAGUGUAGAGGAGAAGAUCUCCCGACAUGCUCGAGUCGGAACGACGCCAUCAAGAGAGAUAGUUAUCCAAUUUAAUGCUGAUGUUGCUGAUGGAAUGCCAUGGAAGUUUAUUCCUACGCAGAGAGAGGUUAAGGUUAAGCCUGGUGAAAGUGCUCUUGCAUUUUAUACUGCUGAAAAUCGCAGUUCAGCUCCAAUUACUGGUGUGUCCACGUAUAAUGUUGCUCCGAUGAAGGCUGCAAUUUACUUCAAUAAAAUACAAUGUUUCUGCUUUGAGGAGCAAACACUUCUUCCCGGGGAGCAGAUUGACAUGCCGGUAUUCUUCUACAUUGAUCCUGAGUUUGAGACGGACCCCAAAAUGGACGGGGUGAACAAUAUUGUUCUUUCCUAUACAUUCUUUAAGGUGAAAGAGUAG
rnacentral:rRNA from 1 species